rnacentral:rRNA from 1 species
GAUGAACGCUGGCGGCGUGCCUAAUACAUGCAAGUAGAACGCUGAAGGAGGAGCUUGCUCUUCUGGAUGAGUUGCGAACGGGUGAGUAACGCGUAGGUAACCUGCCUGGUAGCGGGGGAUAACUAUUGGAAACGAUAGCUAAUACCGCAUGACAACAGUUAUUGCAUGAUAACUGUUUAAAAGGGGCAACUGCUCCACUACCAGAUGGACCUGCGUUGUAUUAGCUAGUUGGUGAGGUAACGGCUCACCAAGGCGACGAUACAUAGCCGACCUGAGAGGGUGAUCGGCCAAACUGGGACUGAGACACGGCCCAGACUCCUACGGGAGGCAGCAGGAGGGAAUCUUCGGCAAUGGACGGAAGUCUGACCGAGCAACGCCGCGUGAGUGAAGAAGGUUUUCGGAUCGUAAAGCUCUGUUGUAAGAGAAGAACGAGUGUGAGAGUGGAAAGUUCACACUGUGACGGUAUCUUACCAGAAAGGGACGGCUAACUACGUG